CGGAAAGCAUGGAAUAAUGUUUAUUAAAACCAUGGUAGUAUAUAUAUAAACAUCCCAAAAAAUACCAGAAGCUCAAAGUAAACGUCUUGACGCACUCAAUCAUCGUAAGAGAUUGAUGUGAGUGCUCAGGCCAGGGAAUGCCCUAUGACUUAUCCUAAUUAUUAUCCUAAUAUAUUCCGCCAUAAAAUUAAGCUUUGAGCUCCAUCAGUCAUUAUAGUUUUUCAAUCAUUUAAGCUCUAUGUAUUUUUUCCACACGCGACAUUUUCCAAUUACGCUAUGCAAAUGCAAUUUGUCUGGACUGCAAUUUAGGUUCCGUA